rnacentral:rRNA from 1 species
CCUACGGGUGGCUGCAGUGGGGAAUAUUGCACAAUGGGCGCAAGCCUGAUGCAGCCAUGCCGCGUGUGUGAAGAAGGCCUUCGGGUUGUAAAGCACUUUCAGCGGGGAGGAAGGCGUUAAGGUUAAUAACCUUGGCGAUUGACGUUACCCGCAGAAGAAGCACCGGCUAACUCCGUGCCAGCAGCCGCGGUAAUACGGAGGGUGCAAACGUUAAUCGGAAUUACUGGGCGUAAAGCGCACGCAGGCGGUCUGUCAAGUCGGAUGUGAAAGCCCCGGGCUCAACCUGGGAACUGCAUUCGAAACUGGCAGGCUAGAGUCUUGUAGAGGGGGGUAGAAUUCCAGGUGUAGCGGUGAAAUGCGUAGAGAUCUGGAGGAAUACCGGUGGCGAAGGCGGCCCCCUGGACAAAGACUGACGCUCAGGUGCGAAAGCGUGGGGAGCAAACAGGAUUAGAUACCCGUGUAGUC